CACGGGCGCGCCAAGGCCUCGCGGACGGUGGCUGGCGCAGCUCAGUAAGGCCCGCGGAAUUGGCGAACUGUGUGGAAGGAGCGGAAUCUGUAGAGCUCAGCAGCGGCGAGGUACAAAACAAAGAAUCGCUUUGCACAAAGCCAGAAGGGAUACAUUGAAAGAAUUAUCAGAAAAGAAUAAUACAUAGGUUAGAGGGCCAGUGAGCAACUCGCGCGAGACGCAGAUAGUAUUCUCGCGAGAAGUCUAGGAGGCGGCAGUGAUGGCGGCGGCGGGAAUCGUACCUGGCCCGGGAGUGAAUGCAGGACCCGGCCCGGCAGUGGCUGCAAAUGCAACACCGGCAGAAGAAGGGGAAACGAAACCGGUAGUAGCGGUAGCAGCCGCUCCGGCCGGGGAGGGGACGUCUGCUGCUCCAGCCGCGGAGCCUGGCUCUGGAGAGGCCGAAAGCGGGGAUGCAAACUCAGUUGAUGUAAGUGGUGGCUUGGAGACAGAAUCCUCUAAUGGAAAGGAUACACUAACACAGGAAGGUGCUGGGGAUACUUCAGAGGUGAUGGAUACUCAGGCGGGCUCCGUGGAUGAAGAGAAUGGUCGCCAGUUGGGAGAGGUGGAGCUGCAGUGUGGAAUAUGUACCAAAUGGUUCACAGCAGACACCUUUGGCAUAGAUACCUCAUCCUGUCUACCUUUCAUGACCAACUACAGUUUCCACUGCAAUGUAUGCCAUCAUAGUGGGAAUACCUACUUCCUCCGGAAGCAAGCAAACUUGAAAGAAAUGUGCCUUAGUGCUUUGGCCAACCUAACCUGGCAGUCCCGAACACAGGAUGAACAUCCGAAAACCAUGUUCUCCAAAGAUAAGGAUAUCAUACCAUUUAUUGAUAAAUAUUGGGAGUGCAUGACGACCAGACAGAGACCUGGGAAAAUGACCUGGCCAAAUAACAUUGUUAAAACGAUGAGUAAAGAAAGAGAUGUAUUCUUAGUAAAGGAACACCCCGAUCCUGGGAGUAAGGACCCAGAAGAAGAUUACCCCAAAUUUGGCCUUCUGGAUCAGGAUCUUAGUAACAUUGGUCCUGCUUAUGACAACCAAAAACAAAGCAGUGCUGUGUCUACCAGUGGGAAUCUAAAUGGGGGAAUUGCAGCGGGAAGCAGUGGAAAAGGAAGAGGAGCUAAGCGCAAACAGCAGGAUGGCGGGGCCACAGGGACCACCAAGAAGGCCCGGAGUGACCCUUUGUUUUCUGCUCAGCGCCUUCCCCCUCAUGGCUACCCCUUGGAACACCCAUUUAACAAAGAUGGCUAUCGGUAUAUUCUAGCUGAGCCCGAUCCCCACGCCCCUGACCCUGAGAAGCUUGAACUCGACUGCUGGGCAGGAAAACCGAUUCCUGGAGACCUCUACAGAGCCUGCUUGUAUGAACGGGUUUUGUUAGCCCUACAUGAUCGAGCUCCCCAGUUAAAGAUCUCCGAUGACCGGCUGACCGUGGUCGGAGAGAAGGGCUACUCUAUGGUCCGGGCUUCUCAUGGGGUUCGGAAAGGUGCCUGGUACUUUGAAAUCACGGUGGAUGAGAUGCCGCCAGACACCGCUGCCAGGCUGGGCUGGUCCCAGCCGUUAGGUAACCUUCAAGCUCCCUUAGGUUAUGAUAAAUUUAGCUAUUCUUGGCGGAGCAAAAAGGGGACCAAAUUCCACCAGUCCAUUGGCAAGCACUACUCUUCUGGCUAUGGACAGGGAGAUGUCCUGGGGUUUUAUAUCAGUCUUCCUGAAGACACAGAGACAGCCAAGUCACUGCCCGAUACCUAUAAAGAUAAGGCUUUGAUAAAGUUCAAGAGUUAUUUGUAUUUUGAAGAAAAAGACUUUGUGGAUAAAGCAGAGAAGAGCCUAAAGCAGACUCCCCAUAGCGAGAUAAUUUUUUAUAAAAAUGGUGUCAAUCAAGGUGUGGCUUACAAAGAUAUUUUUGAGGGGGUUUACUUUCCGGCCAUCUCGCUGUACAAGAGCUGCACGGUCUCCAUUAACUUUGGACCAUGCUUCAAGUAUCCUCCAAAGGACCUCAUGUACCGCCCUAUGAGUGACAUGGGCUGGGGCGCUGUGGUGGAACACACUCUGGCUGACGUCUUGUAUCACGUGGAAACAGAAGUGGAUGGGAGGCGGAGUCCCCCGUGGGAACCCUGACCAAGUCCCCUUUUCUUUGCAGACACGGACUUCCUGGGGAAUAAUAUGAGCGGGUUUUGUUUUUGUUUUUUAACUGUGGCAAAUGUUUUCCCGAAGAUACUGCAGAACACGGCCUCUGCUGUAGCAAAUGAGAGGCCGGGUGGGUCUGAGAGAGACUCCCUGCCCUGCAGCACUCCCCCUUGUAUCAUGGCUUUUACUUCGUGUGCCAUUCCCAGCAGCUGCCGACCCUGGGGUCCCGUAAGCGCCCCGGGAACCGGGCCUGUGCCGUGUACCCCACCAGCUGAGACUUGCUGCUCGCUGUGUUUUCUAAGGAGUGGGUGACCUUGCCCAAGUAGCUAACAUGUUUAAAGACACGUCCCUCUGCGGGCAUUGCUGCCAUCCCGCCUGGUUCCCAAGGAAGUGGUGGGCCCGUUUCUGAGAACAGCUGAAAUCCAUGGCUGUACAUUCCAAACCAGUUUAACAGCUCUUUCCUUUCGCCGUGGGUGUGUUUUUGUUAUUAAUUUUGAGGUGUACCUUUGAACACUGGGAUCUCUGAAACUACUAGGUCUGUAGAACUAUUCUUGUGAAGGGAACUUGCUUGCAGCUUUAACAAUUAGAAACUCUUCCCAAAUAAAACUUGUCUUCGAGUGUGUGUGGCACUUUGCUUCCCUUUCAGGUUGGGGUCCAUGUGGCGACAGUGUCGGAACAGUAAGGCACUCUGAGGAAGGGGAGCCAGCCUUGGAGGAGAGACAGGAAACCCAACAGAAUCAGGCUGAGGUCUAUUCAUUCGUGGUCUUAUGGAGCAGACUUGGUUAUAAAGCUUCUGGAUCAUCAGGGUUUGAAGAACUCUAAGUAAACGAGGAUGGUGUUAUCUAGAGGAAGCUGGAGAUGAAUUCUUUGUAGCAUGAAUUACCACACAUGACCUGCCAGGCCACAGAGAACCAGAGUCACUACUCAGCCAGGGUGGGGGGGGCCGAGGCACACCGCAGCUCACAGCCCCCUCCCGACUGCUGUGGCCAUCCUUCCGCCUGGGCCUCCCCACCUUGAUCUCCUUGACAUUCGGGUUCCACUCGCCCAUGGCCUCCAUGUGCUCCACGAGCUCUUCGUAAAGCCUCUCCAUGGGCUGGUCCACUACCACCUCCAGCCGGAACACCUUGCCCACGUCUGGGAUCACUUUACUCAACACUUCGUCCCCAUUCGCCUAUCGGCAGGGAAGAGAGGAGCCCCAAGGGAAAGCCCUCCUGGUCACUGAGGAUGCCCAGGGCCCUCUGCAUGGCCUCCUCUCCCUGCUGGAUAUAGGCCAGUUCAUGGUCGCUGUAGAGCGUGUCUUCCAGCUGAGAACCUGGACACAAAGCCACGGAGAGGCUGAGCUUCCUAGCCUCCCACGAGCUUUCACCCCUUUCAUCUCUGAAGAGCCCAGACCAAAGCCAUAUGGUCCAGCCUGCAGGUUAAGAGGGAGAGAAGCUUUGAACAACCUAUCCUGCUACAGAAGGGGAAUUACAGCCACCCGUCCCCUGAGGCUUGCCAACACAGCUUCCCAGAGUCACUGCGGCUCGGACUUCCCUGGCACCCUUGGUACCCAUCCCAGAGAAAGGCAGAGUCAGGAAGAAGCCAAGGCAGCUCGGAGCCCUGGAGGGGAGGCUGGGGAUGACAGAGUCUGGAAGGCACCCAGGAACCUUCGCAUCCAGCUCCGUUCUUCAGCGCGGGGGACGCUGAGGUAUGGGGUAGGGGGAAAGGCUUGCACAGGCUCCCCCAGUGAGCGGCACCCCUGGGACUUGAGUGGCCUGUCCCCCCCCCCCCCAGGCCCACACUUUCCCCACUAGACGUUGCCUGCGGGCUCCUGGUCACCUGGACAGGGGGGCCCAGGAGCUCACCCUUCAUGUUGCGCAUGUGUCUGUAGGAGCUCCCGGCGCACAGCUUGAACGUGGCGAGGAGCAUGGUUCCCUGGCGGUGGGGGCAGGCGUGGAGGCUGGCGGUGGUGCUUCUGGACUCUGCUCCUCUCCUCCUGGGCCUGUCAGGGUUGGCCUCUGGGUCCUGCAGCCGCGGCCGGACCGUGCGUCCUGCGCCUUAAAUGCCUCCAGCCGAAGGCUGUGUUUCAUCAUCAGGAGAUAAAAAAGCCAUCACUCAUAGUGUAAAGGAAGGCACCAAGGAUAGAGGGAUUGCCUCACAAGGAGCCUUUGGCCAUUUGCAGGGAGUGCGGGCGGGGGUGGGGAAAGGGCUUGGGAGGCUGCUGCCUGACGGGGUGGAUGGAGGGGAGAGAAAAAAAAGCAGCAGAGGUCAAGGCAAUUUAGAAAAAAGUAUGCACAUGUGACAGUGGUUCUCAAGCAGCAAGCUGUUUAAAAUGCAGCUUUGUAGCCCUCAUGCUCAGAAAUUCCAGAUUUAACAAGUCUAGAAUUGAGGCUCUGAAACCUGUAUUUAAAAAAAAAUUCCCAGGUGAUUGCCAUGAAGGUAUUCUGUGAACUGUACACUAGGCUUUGAGAAGCUCUGCCCUGGGAGAGCACCCAGGGCUUCUGAUAGGGGACAGGCAGGCAGAGCUGGCAGAGGCCACCCAGCCCCAGGGUGAGGGGCCUGAAGUCUCGGGAGGAACGGCGCUCCCACCCGGUUCUACAAGAAUCAAGUCAUCACCCCUGCUGUCGCUGACCUACAGUACACCCUGGAAGGAAUUCAGGAAGACAAUUAGGAUGAGGCACGCUGUGCUCUGGGGAAACAGAAAAGCACUAAAAUCAUGAACGGAGAAACUCGUCGCUUGUGACCAGGAGCAACCUUCUACCAAAAUGUGUGCUUGAGUGCAGUCGACAGUUUUGCUGACCAUGAAGGAGCACAGAGCUAAUAACUUCUCUCCUCCGUCUGAACACUAUGAAGAUUCAGGACCUUGGUAGCAGCAAGGGCCUUUUAUUCCCAUCCACCUCCUCAGCGAGUGCAGACAAAUUUGGAAAAUGGAAACUUUCAGGUUCCCAGUAGCCUUAUCAGGUGAAUAAGGAAGGUCAACUCCUGGCAGGUGCAAGAAUGUCAAGGUAUUUUGGAGACCUUGAGAAGAGAGGAAUUCGCCCAAAUCUAUAGUUAUUGUGGCGGAAUCUAAUGGCAAGCCCUUGGCAUGGCUUUCCUGGCUCAACUUGAGAGGCCUUUUAAAAGUUCAGUCUGAAAUUCCUUAUGAAAAGUUCCAGGAAAAACAAUUUAAAAGAGCCUAUAUAAUCAAUUACACUUAUGUAAAUAAUCAGGCCAAGUUUAUUUUGCAAACAAAUUAGCCUUAAUUGGGCUAUAUGUGGUAGAAAUGAAGGUGAUUUUAGAGAAAAAAAAAGUUCUAGUGGAUAUUAAGUUCUAAUGUUGUCAACUGUCUUCCAAGUUUGUACUUACUGCCCAAGGCUCACUUCUUUUAUUGGCUCCUUGUUAUAUUAUUGUGAAGUUUAAUUGAAUUAUUAAAAGGACAUUGUAAGUUU